rnacentral:lncRNA from 1 species
CUUACACAAAUCCUGAACCUGACUCCUUGUGCUUGGCAAGCACCUUGCUGAUUGAGCUGUCUCCCCAGAUCCUCAAAAUGAGUUUAUUCUUGGGAGAGCUUAGAAGGAACGGGCAACAGCUGUUGACGUGAGAAGACAAAAAACUUCAGGCCCUGUUCCCCAAUGAAGGCGGCUAGGGAGCCACUCUGAAAAUGUAUUAUUGUGGAGAGCUGCCAACGUUGAUGGUGACUCCUAGCACCAGCUGCACAACCUGAAACAUGUCUCCGCUCAGUCACACAGACUGGAGGGGCA